rnacentral:rRNA from 1 species
CACGGGGGGAGCAAGCGUUGUUCGGAAUCACUGGGCGUAAAGGGCGUGUAGGCGGUCAAGUAAGUGGAAUGUGAAAGCCCCCGGCUUACCCGGGGAUCUGCAUCCCAAACUGCUUGGCUUGAGUACGGGAGAGGAUAGGGGAAUUCCUGGUGUAGCGGUGAAAUUCGUAGAUAUCGGGAGGAAUACCAGUGGCGAAGGCGGCGACCUGGGCCAAUACGUGACGCUGAGGUGCGAAAGCGUGGGGAGCAAACAGG